AACCUUAUGGACCUGCGGGCGUAUACCUGCGGAAGGAUCAUCAUCGAAUUCAUAUCCCCCUCCUCAACCGGAGGGGAACCCAUGAUAAACCCUUCUGUGCACCGUAAACCGUUUACUUUGGCAGGCUUUGGUGGUGAGCGUGAGCUUGCCUCCAACUUCGCGUUCCCUCCCUAGGGGCAUUACGCGUGGCGGCCUGCCGGAGUCUCAUUAAAAAACUCGUUUUCGAACACGUCUGAAAAU
rnacentral:misc_RNA from 1 species